GGAUUCAAUUUCCUUUUAAAUAACAACUCUCUAUUGUGGGAAAUUAACUUUUGCGUAUUCUCCAAAGAAUACUUGUGCUGCAUAUUGAGAUCAAAAAUGUGUUUUCUUCCUUCUGUUUUUUCUUUUCUCCUUGUGAGAGCUUUUCUCACUGGUGUAUGAGUGUCAUUGCUUCUCCUCGUAACCGCUGACCUUAGUGUUGAACAAUAAAAAUAUACAACUUAAAAAAAAUAGAGUCUAUACUAAUUGGGUCAGACUACAAGGCAAAACAAAGAUGUAAACCAACCCAAAAGUUAAGAAUGGGCUUUACAUACAAACCAAAUAUUGAUAAACAAAUAAAUAAAAUAUAAAUAAGUAAAUAAGGAAAAUUUCCUACAAAAGGGGGAAGUAAUAAACAGGUUCCCCCUUUUCCUGCAACAAAAAAAAAGUGGGGUCAGUUAAGAGAGGUUAAGAGAGAGUGGCAGGAAGUCAUGCCCUCCAUCUUCCCCCCCACAUAACAAGCUCUAGAACCCUCCUAUGAUGCCUAUCAGCUGCAUCAAGAGAGAGGGGACAAAAAAAAAGCAGAGAAACUCUGCAGAAAAUAAGAGCAACUUUGAGAGAAAAUACCAAAAGCAACAAGGUGCUGCCAAGAAAGAGAGCAAGUUGUUCAACCAUUUUGUGCUUUUGAAUCAAGAUCCAAAAGAAGAACAUUCAUCACCAGGUAUGAAGCAAGUUUUGUUAAAAUUAUUCUUUUUCUCUUGUUUGAUGUUAUGUUGCAGGAAGAACAAAAAAGCAUUGCAGCAGCAAACACAAAAAUAAAAAGCUACAGACAAACAAAAAAUGAAUGAGGAAAGGGAAAUAAGCAAAGGCAUAUAAGACCUUUGCCUCUUUGUUUGGCGUUCUUCACCAAUCAAAUGGAGUUGGAGACUUAAUCCACCAACCCCCCAACUGCAGCAGAGAUAAUCUCCAAGAAUCCCAUGAAUUUCUUCGGGGUGGCCUAGACCACCCCGUGAAAUUUUAACCAAGUCUAAAUGGUCUACCCCUUCGCCAAAUUGUCAAGUGCAGUUUCAAAGUUCUAAGCUUAUGUCCCCGAGAAGUAAGACAGCAAGGAGGCAACAUUUACAAAGAUGCAACUCAAGAAAGAGAAAAAAAAUUAUUUUGUUUGGUGUUUUUGCUACCCACUGGUACAAAACAUGGACGAUGCCUUUGGCUAAAAAUUAUAUGAAAACUUAUUGGGAAUAGAGUCCAAGAAAAAGGAGAAAAUGGAAAAGAUGGUUUGCAAAGGAAAAGAAAGCCAAAACUUCCCUUGACCAACUCAUGCUUGGUCCAAUUCCACAAGAAGAACAUUUUUCAACACAACUCUUGACAAAGACAAAUAAAAAGGGAGGAAGGAAACGUGAAGAAGUUUAAAAGGGUCAAAGUUUCAAAGUUUCAAAGUUGGGACAAAAGGAAAAGGUUCAAAAGGAAAAGGUUCAAAUUUCCAAGUUUCUCUGCCAUGUGAAAAACGGGACAAAAGGAAAAGGUUCGAAGUUUCAAGCUUCUCUGCCAUGUGAAGUUAAACUUGAAAAGGACAAGUAGCUGCUAUGUUCAUGCCGUGUAAAACACUUUAAAGACAAACCAUAUUUACUCAUGCAUACUGAAGACAAAAUGUUAUGGAGGGCUGAUGUUGAUGAGAAGGAAAAACAAGUAGGACAAAACUACUAUGAGCAUGGUUAUCAUAAAACCACCCAUGUGACAUUCAAAUGGAAAAGUAUAGUGCCUAUUCUGAUUAACCAAGGAAGGCAACACACCAAUAGAAGCAAAAAGAAAUGAGGGCGUCCUGCAAACUUUAGAGUACAAUUCUCACAUUUGGAGCCAUGAAUCAAAAAUUGUCUUCAACAAACUCGGUACUGCAAAAUAGUUGGUCCAACAACCAAAACGAAGAGAUGUCGUUUCCUGGGACUCCUGCACGAAAGAAUUGAUAAAGUUCAUUGCAGUUAGAGUUUCAUUCCACUCCAAAUACAUAAGCAAGUCCAGAACAUAAAGAAAACGAAAAUGGGUAACUUGCUUGACAAAAGGGAGCACAAGCAAAAUAGUGAGCUUUCGAUCGAUCCACAAAAAGAACAAGCAAAGUGGUGAGAGUAAGAAAAUGAGGCAGCAGAAAGAAAAAAAAAAAUACUCGUGACCUCUAUAAAAAGACCCCGCGAUUUAAGAGGAAAAUAGGAUAAAAUUGGAGCAAUUAGAAAAAGAAUUUAAACACCAACAAACCUUACCCAUUCUCACUCUAAAAUCCAUGGAUACCCAAUCCAAAUAGAAGUUCGAAAUGUAACGAAAUCCACAGAAACCCAAGUAUAUCGGAAUUGAUUCUUGCUUCCGGAGGAAAACCACGUGUAUUGGAGCCAAGAAAAAUGAGGAAUUUUUGUUGAAGGCCAUCUCGCAAGAGGGAGGUGUGAAUGAAGUCUGCAUCUCACAUCUCAUGUGGAGAAGAAAUGAGUUUAUUGAAAUUGGUAGUCUGCUCACAU
rnacentral:lncRNA from 1 species